GCGGGUGUAGUUUAGUGGUAAAACUACAGCCUUCCAAGCUGUUGUCGCGAGUUCGAUUAUCGUCACCCGCU
rnacentral:tRNA from 2 species